ensembl:lncRNA novel transcript
CUCUCUUCUCCAAGCUACUACUUCAAGAAGCAGCGGGCUCUGCGGCUCAGCCCAGGCUGCGGGGGUUGGGGGGCGCUCCCACGCGGGGCUCGCCUUCUGCCACGCGGCGCGCAUCAGCGACCUCUCCAACUAGGAGCUGGCGCGCUCGCUGCACAAACUGCACGAAGCACCCGCCCCAGGUGCGCGCAGCCCGUACUCUCAGAUUCCUAACCUGGAGGGGUUGGCGCUCCCGGAACGCAGGACACGAAGCCCAGCCCCGGGCCCCGGCUUCCGCCUGAUCCAGCCCUACUAGCCCGGCCGCCCCAAGAUCCCGCCCAGCCCGGGGCGUGUCUCGGCCUAGGGAUACUGGGCCAGCCACGAAAGCCUCCGCCCCCUCGAAGCGGGCUCCCUCGCCGCCAACUCUAGUGAAGAAGCAGCCCUUCUCCCCGGCGCCCGCUGGUUUGCAGAGGCCUGCUAUGAAGAGCUUGUGCAAGUAAAGCGUUUGCUGAGCGGAAACAGGCUGCGGGUGGCUGCGGCAGGCAUGGAGCCGACGCGGAUCUUUUGCAAACAUCUUUAUUAAUCUCAUAUAAAAAUAAGGUCCAUGGACGG